GACGAACGCUGGCGGCGUGCUUAACACAUGCAAGUCGAACGAUGAACCCGGAGCUUGCUCCGGCGGAUUAGUGGCGAACGGGUGAGCAACACGUGAGUAACCUGCCCUUGACUCUGGGAUAACUGCUAGAAAUGGUAGCUAAUACCGGAUACGACCCUCGGUGGCAUCACCAGGGGGUGGAAAGAAUUUCGGUCAAGGAUGGACUCGCGGCCUAUCAGCUAGUUGGUGAGGUAACGGCUCACCAAGGCGACGACGGGUAGCCGGCCUGAGAGGGUGACCGGCCACACUGGGACUGAGACACGGCCCAGACUCCUACGGGAGGCAGCAGUGGGGAAUAUUGCACAAUGGGCGCAAGCCUGAUGCAGCAACGCCGCGUGAGGGAUGACGGCCUUCGGGUUGUAAACUUCUUUUAGUAGGGAAGAAGCGAAAGUGACAGUACCUGCAGAAAAAGCACCGGCUAACUACGUGCCAGCCGCCGCUGUAA
rnacentral:rRNA from 1 species